rnacentral:tRNA from 2 species
GCCGACGUGGCGAAAUUGGUAUACGCGCAGGAUUUAGGUUCCUGUGCCUUCGGGCGUGAGGGUUCAAGUCCCUUCGUCGGCA